GUAGGACGUACAUGGUGUCUUUCGGUGGUUUAAGUGAGAAAAUUGUGUCUAUCGGGUAAAUAUGGAGGAUUUUAUUGACAAACCAUCACCCUAGAGCGGAAAUUUUGCCAAAUAUCGUCAGCCACAACCAUAGGGAAAUUAGUAUGACUGCUUUAAUUAUUUAGUCAACUCAGUUUUCUAAAUACCAUGGAGUCGUAUAUAAAUGAAUCCAUUCUUAUAUCGAGUGUGCUGGAUCAUCUCGUUACAGUAAAGAAAUGGUAACAUUUAGACAUAAUGCGUACAAAAGAUUAGAAUCAGUAUACAGCAUCAAGUUCAGUUUGGAAGGACUAAUAAACGUAGUUAUUGCUGGAAGCAAAGGCGAGGGACUGACGGCUCCACUAGAGAGUGAUCAAGAUAUCAUGGGUUUUAAUUCCGAUGUAGUUUGUAAAGAAAAUCUAGACUCGAUUACAAACAGGGAAGAAAUGACAGUAUUUAAAUUAGACAUAAAAGAUGCAGCUCCUGGUAAUACUUAUCUCCGAGUCAUAAACAUCAGUGACAGUCAGCCAAUCACAAAUUUUUUGCUUGAAUGCCUGGUAGAACUUUCACCGGGUCAUAUGUACCUAUCGAGUGACUUUUUGAAACAUGAAAUAAAAGAGGGUAUAACACAAAAUUCUAUGUUGCCAGGAAAUCAAGACUUAGAAAAAGUAGAUCGGGAAAAUCAUGGUCCAUCAACCACAGUGGGAAUUUUGGAAACUGUAUCGUUUGAUUUUGUUUACGCAUUCACUUGUGAUUGUCCUAGCUAUUUAAGGUCAUGGUCCAAUAGAGAACGAUUUAAUCAGUGGCCAUCUGACGGUGUUAUUAGACAAGUUUCUGAAUCAGAAUCCCAUGUGGUGCCAGUAGGAAACAUAUAUAGUAGCAUGCAAUACUUAGAAUGGAGAAUUUGCUUCACAAAAGGGGAAAUUUUAUUGGUUCAAAGUCUGAACAAUUGCCUAACAAAAUGUUUAAUCUUACUGAAGCAGAUCACUAGAAUUGCCCUAUAACCCUUGAGUAAACAUAUGACUUCUUACAUUGUAAAGAAUGUAAUCUUUUGGGUUGCAGAGUUAAAUGACUAUGAAUAUUUCAAAGAAAAUAAGUUGAGCCUUGUAUUGAAAUUAGCUUUGUUGUUCCUCAAACAAUGUGUUUCCAGAAAUGAUUUACCAAAUUAUAUGAUACCUGAAAGAAACUUGCUGUCAGACAGGCUGACAGUCAAUCAGAGAGCUAAAGUUUGUAUGAGAAUAGAUUAUCUAAUAAAGGAGGGACUUAUGACGUUAUACAGAUGGAAAAAAGUCAGACAAGCUUUCGUUAUGCUCUACCGUUCACCAGAAGAGUUCUACAAGUUAUCAGAAAGACGACAUCAUGUACAAAAGUUGUUGCUAUUACGUGAUGAAUAUUUUGCACGACAUGUUUGGAGGCCAUUUGAUACUGUCGAGGAUAUAACAAGGGCUGAACUUAACGACGGUGUCUGUGGUUUCUUGAGGUAUAAAAUUGCCCAGUGCAUUAUUGAAGAAGACGACAUAACAGAAGACGACGUCAGAAUGACUGCCGAUGAAAUCGAAGAACAUUUAAGUUGUCUUCGUGUUAAUGGAAAUGGUGCAGUCAGAGAAGAUCCUGCUACCGAGUAUUUGACUUGAAAUAUUUAGCCACAGGUAAUGAUGUCAUAUAAAAACGUUAUCUACGCAUAGACUUACACUGAAUAGUUUAAAAUAAUUAUGUUAAAUUGAAUGUAAUUUGUGAAGGUCCUUAGUGUUUUUUAUUCGGCGUAUAUUUGUCAUUGUGGUCCCUGGUACUGUCAUCCGUGUACUGAUAUUUAUUACAUUUAUAUUUCCGUAAUAUAAAGUAACGUGCUUUUACAUCAAGUGCAGGUUAUCCUAUUCAUGGUUAAAAAUAUGUAAUUCAUUGUUUUUUUUUGCUGAUUAAAGACAAAGUACCAGAAACGUCUCCCAGUAAUUUUGCAUGCAUUCAACAAGUUAAGUAGGAAAUCAAUUAUUUUCAUGGGUGGGUGCAUGUAUGACAUAACUGCCACUUUAGAGGCCCCAAACCGUUUUAUAUUACUAUAAUUAGUUACCAGUAGCUUAAUUCAUUGAACGAAAUGAUGCUACAAUAUGAUUAUAUGGAGAUAUAAUUUCAUUUAGUGUAGUACUGGUUAUUGAAUUGUAGUUGUUACCUAGUUCAUAGUUUUAUGUAACAUUAAGAACACUUGCCUCGGAGUCUUCAGAUGUUUUUGUUUGUUUAUUUGUUUUUAAUUUCUGAUUCUAACUUAAAGGCCGAUAAGGUUCGUAUUAUAUAUAUAUUCUUCAUUAUAAAAACAGAGCAGCAUUUCCAUCGAGUUUUAAAUGUUGGACGCUACAGAGUAAGGGCAACCUGGGACGGGCUCGUGGGAUGGGCCAGUGGGAUGGUAUGGGCUCAAGGUCAUGGGAUCGUUAGCCCAAUGUCAAAGAAAUAUACAGUGAUGAGCAUGAACUUAAAGUUCAUCUGAGCAAUUAAGAGGUCAGCUAAGGAUAUCAGGGACACAACCUGUAAUUACAAUUCCCGGAGUGAGUGUAUAUGCUGCCAAGAAGGGAAACAAAGAAAAAAUACCAAUACUUAGUUCUCUUACUUGUUAGAAUGUACUUGUAUUGUUCCAAUAUAUGUAAUAAAACUCUUUAAGCUAAAAAGUAAUUAUUUCGGAACAAAAUAUAAGUUAUUUAUUGUCCACUUGGUGUUAAUGUAAACAUCAAAAUUUAUUUAUUCUAUUUACAUUCAAUAAAUAAAAGAAAACGAUAUAUGUUUGAGAAUCCCCUUUUUGUGUGUUAUAAUAAAUCUAAUGUAUCCAUUUUUAUAAUCUAUUUAUAUAGAAUUUUGUGAAUUAAUGUCUUCUGUUUAUUUUCGGUAACGUUUGUUUCAAAAUUAAAUUAUUUCCAUUUCAUAAUUUCUUUUAAAAUUAGCUUAUAUUUCCUAACAAAUUAGUGUUAAAGAAAACCAGUAAAGUUUCAUUUUUUGACUUGGUUUCGAAGUCACUGCCGAAUUCGUCCACUUCUCCCUGUGACACACACACUAUAUAAAUAUAUAUAUAUAAUUCUAACCUUUAUCUUCAUAAUUCUUCACUAUAUCGAAUUAUUUAUUAUUUUGAUAUAUAAAUACUGGUACUGAUGAUACACCCGGACAGAUGAUAAAGUCGACCACCUUGGAAAUAUUCGAUUGCAAUCGGUUAUUUAUAAAAUUGAACACAAUAAGAACUACCGAUUUUAAGCCAAUCUGACCUCACUUGACCUCUUGCCCUCUUCUAAAAAAAUCCAACGCCGACCAAUCAAUUCAAAUUUAAAAAAUCCAAAGCCAGCCAGUCUUAAAAUACUAACUCAGUGCAUUUGUACCCUGAAAAUCUUUGAUGGACGUAAGGUUGAAGGGCCAAUCUGACCUCACUUGACCUCUUGUCCUUAUUUUAUAAGUGCACUUUGGUCUCACCCUAAACUUUAGUAAAAACUUAGUUUCUGUCUUAAAAUAUUAACCCGGUACACCUGUACCCUGAAAAUCUUUAGCAGAAUCUAAGAUUCUAUCUUUGGUUAAACCAAAUGAAAACCUCCGGUUUAACCAAAUGAAAAAAUCAUAUAUUUAAAAAAGAAAAAAAACCUAGAAGAAAAAUUUACAUGUCCUUAUUUAUUAAAAUAAUGUAUAAUUGUUUGUUCAUUUUGUUUUACAUUGUUUACUCUCAGUGUUUUAUACAAUAAAUCAUAAAUGUUUAUACCAUUUUGUAACAUUUUUAUGAAAAAUAAACAAUAAUAUCCA